rnacentral:rRNA from 1 species
CAGCCGCCGCGGGAACACGUAGGGUGCGAGCGUUAAUCGGAAUUACUGGGCGUAAAGCGUGCGCAGGCGGUUUUGUAAGACAGGCGUGAAAUCCCCGGGCUCAACCUGGGAAUGGCGCUUGUGACUGCAAAGCUAGAGUGCGGCAGAGGGGGAUGGAAUUCCGCGUGUGGCAGUGAAAUGCGUAGAUAUGCGGAGGAACACCGAUGGCGAAGGCAAUCCCCUGGGCCUGCACUGACGCUCAUGCACGAAAGCGUGGGGAGCAAACAGGAUUAGAUACCCGGGUAGUCCCUGUCUCUUAUAC